rnacentral:tRNA from 1 species
GUCAAGCGGUUAAGACACCGCCCUUUCACACGGCGGUAACACGGGUUCGAAUCCCGU